UACUGCCCCACUAGUCUGGGAUACCACUUGGAAACAGGUGCUAUACCGGAUAAGAAAGCAGAUCGCAUGAUCAGCUUUUAAAAGGCGGCGUAAGCUGUCGCUAUGGGAUGGCCCGCGGCGCAUUAGCUAGUUGGUAAGGUAAAGGCUUACCAAGGCGAUGAUGCAUAGCCGAGUUGAGAGACUGAUCGGCCACAUUGGGACUGAGACACGGCCCAA
rnacentral:rRNA from 1 species